rfam:Otolemur garnettii contig059587, whole genome shotgun sequence.
GCCUGUGGCUCAAAGGACUAAGGCGCCAGUCUCAUAUGCUGGAGGUAGUGGGUUCAAACCCAUCCCUGGCA